rnacentral:piRNA from 1 species
UGGUACAGUAAGGAUUGUAGUGAC